rnacentral:lncRNA from 1 species
UUUUUGGACCAUUAAUAGGUCACUGGGAAUUGGCAGUUGCAAGCAGAUCCAUUAAUGGAUUCUAGGCAUUUGCUUGCUGGGUUUUCAUUUCAAAAAGGUUACAACAUCUUCCAAAUAGGAGAUGAUGAGGAACGUGGACACUCAACACCUCUUCCUACUUGAGGCAAAAAAGAAGAAAAAAUCAUUAGUCUAUAAAAAUGAUUUCUCUUAUCUCCCAAAUUCAUUCCUCUAGCGGCUGGAUCUCCUCGCCGGGGCAGGCUACUCGAUCUCCGAUAUAUGGCCGGCUUUUUUUAAAGCUCUGAGUAAUCAUGAAAUAAUCAAGAGAUUAAGAGCCCUACCCCUAUCUAUAGGUACUCUAACAUGACUAAAUGCAUUUGUUUUCUUAUGCAUGUGGAGAGGGACCAAUAGCCUUUUUUUUGUUCUCUGUAAUUUGGUACUCUUAAUCUUCCUCCUUAAGUUGGAUCAUGGUUCUUCUAUCAGUUAGUAAACGAAUAAUUAGGUACUCUGAAUCUUCC